rnacentral:lncRNA from 1 species
GCCUAGAGGCCUCACGGAGGACCCUAAAUACAGAAGCUGUGUGCUGGGGUGGUCGGAGGGAUGUGAGCUUGAGAAAAUCAGAACUCUUGCAAGCAAAAAGCAAGCUGGGCUUCAAGCGCCUGCCUUGGGACUCCCCAGCAUUUCUUUGAAAUGGUAACAUGAGGGGAAAGCGGAAUAAAAAGGGAAGGGCGUGUGAUAAUGCAGAAGGGGAUGAGCAUGUCAGGAGAUUUCUGAUGAGCCUGGUACAGUGCAUUGCCCAGACUGUCAAAACGUGUACCAGUAAAUGGGCAACAGAGCUAAGAUAUGGAACUGGAUAAUCAAGUCGUGGAUGGGGCUACGGGGAUUGCCCAUUCCUGGCUGAGAAGUUGGCAGUUUCUGUUUUGUAUUAGCAAAGAAGUUGGUUAAAGUGUCACCCAUGGCAUUUUUGGACCAAGACCUCAUGUCUACUGAAGCCGAAGCUUUGGGGGAACUGAGGAAUCCCUUCAGCAGCAGACGGCUCCAUGUGAUUCAGUGAAGGCGCACAAGCUGCUCUCCAACCGCCGUGGCUUCUUUCCUGUUCUGGUUAUUUUGCCAGUUUCACCACACCACACUCGGAGCAGUUUCCCAGAGAGCGUGGGUGUUAAUGAUCAGGAGGAACAGAGUUCUGUGAUCAAGUGAAUUUUGGAAAUGCUACGUCAAGCAGAGUUAAAUAAGACGUGCAUGACAUUUGGUGCCAAAACCCGGGACAGGAGGACUCCUUCGGGAGAGCAGUCCCCUGUCCUCAUCCUCACUCCAUGAGGAGAUCCACCUAUGACCUUGGGCCCUCUGACCAACCAGCGCAAG